CACAGAUGCAGCUUGGAUCUGGCAUUGCUGUGGCUCUGGCGUAGGCUGGCAGUAGCAGCUCUGGUUAGACCCCUAGCCUGGGAACUGACACAUGCUGCAAGUGUGGCCCUAAAAAAGACAAAAGACAACAAAAAAAAAAAAAAAAAAAAAAGAAGAAGAAGAAGAAGGUAGAAAAUGACCAAUUAGUUGGAACUUGCAAGAAUUACUUUAUGUAAUGCUUAUAUAAAGUAUCUUUGUAUACUUUUGUUCAAUUACUUGGGUGCAAUCAAAAGGCUGAAUGCUGGUUUCAGAUAGUGUUACUCUGAACAAUAAAUAUCUGUACAUUAAUAUUUUUCACCUCAUUUUGCAUCUUCAACCCCUAUUUUAAUGUAAAAAGUUAUCUUGGUCAGAAUGGUAGGUAUUUCCCUAAAAGCAUCUAAUUUAAAGUCAGCUUUAGUGUGAAUGAAAAGAAUUACCAGGUAUGAUGCUGCAGAUUUCCAUUAAAGUCACAUUAAGAGAUAGCAGGGCUGUGAGCAAGGAAAAAGAUCCAACAGGGACCUUUAAUAGUGUACUGAGUAGGCUGGGGCUAGGAAUUUCAUUCUCAAGAAUGAAUCAGAAAAAUAGAAACACGUUUGUGUAUAUGAAGAAUGAUUUCAUCUCUCUGACCACUGAAUGGGAACCUAAGGAGGGCAGAGGAGAAGCAAUAUAGUAUGUGAAAUGAAAUGAGGCCUUUUACAGUGAAACCUGAUGUAGUGUGUCUAGUGUCAUAGUUUAGAUUGCUCAGUAGGGAGCAAGCGUGGCUUUAACUUCAUGAAGAGAUAUUAGGCAACUGAUUGCAUAGAAAAUGCAUUAUCUCUCUUUCUUAAGGAACUGUUUCUUGAGUCUGUUUUGUGUUCUUUUAUGCCCAUUUAAAAACAUUUCCUCUUCGUACAUUUCAUAUGUAAUACUUCACUGUGGUAAUAAAAAGUAUUGCAGUUCAAAACAUGAAAUCAUAUUAGGAUAGUUCUCUAGUGACUAAUAUGGCAGAAAUAUGGCAGUGAUGUUUUAUUCCAUAAACCACUAUCAUGAUAAACAAAAACAUAGCCAUAUUAGAUUGUACAUAGACUUUCUGUUAUGCAUGAGGGAGCUAGAGUAACCAGGAUACUUUUAGACGUGUUCUGUAGAUCUUUAAUAAGGUUUUUUUGCUUCAAUUCAAUAUUACUAUCACCAUGAUUAUUAUUCAUAAUAUUGUUAUUAAAAUUUAAUAUAGCAUAUUACUAAAAUAGAAGCAACCAUACUUAAAAUUUUGGAUUAGCUCUUAUUUGAUGAAUUAUAUUUGAAUUCAUGUACAGAAUGCAUAAACUAAGUAUCAAUGCAAUUUUUCAAGAACUUAGAAAUUGUUAAAACUUUUCACGUUGUUAACGUACAUAAUUGGUAAUUUCCUCUAUCCAUAAAAACUAGUGUUAUUUAAUGUUAACUCUUCAUUUAAGUUUUGCAUAGUGAUAUAGAUCAAUUAUGUAUUUUCUUAAAAAAAUAAGAUACUAUCAUACAUAUAUAUUGUUAUUAUUUGGGUAAACUCAGGUAUAAUGCAUUCUGGGACUAGCGCCAUUCAUUAUGGAAGAAAUCACUGCCUUGGAUAUAAUGCUGAAAUAGAUGACAUGUAUGUCAUUUUCCAUCCUUAAAAAAAUGUUCUCUCACACUACUUUAAAAUAGGGGCAAUAAUUUCAUUCUAGUUUUCAGUGAUUAUUUGUGAAUAUGAAAAAGGAAUAGAAGUAAGUAAGUUACAGGUGCUGUCAAUGAAUUUGAACGCAAAAUAGUUUGUAUAUUGUUUGAACUGACUUUAAUAAUAACAUAGGGCCUUAUUUAAAUGAAACUUAUUUUUUAGUCAGUAUUCAGACCAGGUUUAUGUAUGUGUGUAUAUGUUUGGGGAACACCUUGAAGCUUACUCUUAGGGUAACAGAAAUGCAAAAUACCAUCCCCUGAUUAAAAAAAAAAAGUAAAUUUCCUAUCAUGUUAUUAGAGUGUGUAAUUCAGGUUUGGAUAGCUAAAAUCUGUUGCACAAAUUUGUUGUUCAUUGAUCAUGGUGAUUUGUUUAAUGAUACGUAAAAAGAACAUGCCAAAGCCUUGUAAGAGUUAAAAUGAAAACAACCAUUGUUUAAGGAAGAAGAAAAUCAAAACAAUAUGUAGGUGUAGAUGCACUGUACAGGAAUGUGUCUCAUCAUGUUCAGUAAAUUUAAAACACAUCAAAGUCAGGCAGAAACUAAGCUGGUGAGACUUCGAGCCUUUUUAUUUUGUCUGGGUCGUGUGUUUGUGUGUGUGUGUGUAGGUAUGUGUAUAUAAACACAUGCAUAUGUAUUUCUUCCUUUUAAGGAAACAAACAUAGGUAUUAAGAAGUAAUUGGGGACUUCCCUUUGUGGCUCAGCGGUUAACAAAUCUGACUAGGAACCAUGAAGUUGUGGGUUCAAUCCCUGGCCUAGCUCAGUGGGUUAAGGAUCCAGCAUUGCUGUGAGCUGUGGUGUAGGUUGCAGACGAGGCUCAGAUCCCGAGUUGCU
rnacentral:lncRNA from 1 species